UGGGGGAUAUUGCACAAUGGGCGAAAGCCUGAUGCAGCGACGCCGCGUGAGGGAAGACGGCCUUCGGGUUGUAAACCUCUGUCUUUGGGGACGAUAAUGACGGUACCCAAGGAGGAAGCUCCGGCUAACUACGUGCCAGCAGCCGCGGUAAUACGUAGGGAGCGAGCGUUGUCCGGAAUUACUGGGUGUAAAGGGAGCGUAGGCGGGAAUGCAAGUUGGAUGUGAAAAGACUCCGGGCUUAACCCGGAGACUGCAUUCAAAACUGUAUUUCUUGAGUGAUGUAGAGGCAGGCGGAAUUCCUAGUGUAGCGGUGAAAUGCGUAGAUAUUAGGAGGAACACCAGUGGCGAAGGCGGCCUGCUGGGCAUUUACUGACGCUGAGGCUCGAAAGUGUGGGGAGCAAACAGGAUUAGAUACC
rnacentral:rRNA from 1 species